rnacentral:rRNA from 1 species
UUCUGGCUCAGGAUGAACGCUAGCUACAGGCUUAACACAUGCAAGUCGAGGGGCGAGCAUGUUGGUUGCUUGCAACCAAUGAUGGCGACCGGCGCACGGGUGAGUAACGCGUAUCCAACCUUCCCCUUAGUAGAGGAUAGCCCGGCGAAAGUCGGAUUAAUACUCUAUGUUCUUCAAUGCGGACAUCUAAGUUGAAGCAAAGAUUUAUCGCUAAGGGAUGGGGAUGCGUCUGAUUAGGUUGCAGGCGGGGUAACGGCCCACCUGGCCUACGAUCAGUAGGGGUUCUGAGAGGAAGGUCCCCCACACUGGUACUGAGACACGGACCAGACUCCUACGGGAGGCAGCAGUGAGGAAUAUUGGUCAAUGGGCGCGAGCCUGAACCAGCCAAGUAGCGUGCAGGAACCGACUGCCCUAUGGGUUGUAAACUGCUUUUAUCAGGGAAUAAAGUGAGGCACGCGUGCCUUUUUGUAUGUACCUGAUGAAUAAGGACCGGCUAAUUCCGUGCCAGCAGCUGC